AACAGAGCAGGGCGGCAGGAGGGGGCUGCGCGCAGGAAGAGCAGGCUGCCGCCUCCCGCCGCGUCCUAACGGCCCCUGCCCGCUCCCCCGGCGGGCUAAACGGCCCUGCCCCCUGAACUGACACGGGCCCGCCGCUGCUACCGGGCACCCCCCUGCCCCGUGACAGCCCCCGAACGGCUGCAGCUACUCACCCCAUGGGCACUUGUCACCCACCCUGCUCCCCUCCCCUCCCCCGUAUGUUAAAGGGCCGGUUCUCACCUCUCUGCCUCCCCCCUCUAAACAGCCACCUGCUGUCGGAAACCUGGCCCCGCCCUCCCCAAAGGCCACCUGUCAUUGCCCCCCCCCCUCCCUCCCCGCUUAUUUCAACUGCCACCACUCCUGCCCCGCCCCCAACGGCCGUCUCGCCCCGGUCUGCCCCUCCGCCACCGGCGGGCAGCUGUUCUGCGCUCUCCCCUCGCCACGCAGGGGCUGCCCAGCCCUGCGCCCGCGCGCUGCUGGGGAGUUACGGCCCGGGCUUCCCUGCGCGCUCUGAACGGCCCCUCGCGCCUCGCCGGCGGCCCAGUGCAAAGACGUAACCUGUGAACUUCCCGUAGGCAAAGCUGCUGGAAGCAGCCCCCGCUGGCGGCUGCUCUUUCCCCUGGUGUCUCUCUCUACGGGGGGAGCCAAUCGGCCGGGGAUCGAGGCCCCUUGCGCCAUGCGCUGGACUCUUUAGGCAGCCACUGCCCCGAGGAGUUUACAGGCUGAGCAGGUGGCAAACGCCACCGGGUGAAUACAACGCACACGCGUGGGAGGCGAGAGACCGGGGAACAGCGAAACCACCAGUGCAGGAAACAAAGCAGCAGCCACAGCGCAGCAGCUGCCUCGCCGUUGUCAAGUGUCUGCCGAGGUAUCGCUCGCGGGACUACACGUAGCGGGUCAUGAGGGGGAAAUUGUUCUUCCGCCUCCAUCAUCUCAUUCAUCCUACUACAUCUACUUGAAGCCACAAGGGGAAGUUACAUCCACAUGAAUUCAGAUGCAAGAAAUAAAAUGAGGAAAGAAGAGCCAUAUUGCGUAUUGAAACUUGAAGCUUAGCAAAUAUGGCAUUUACAACACACAACGGCUUCAGAACCUGCCAACCUGUAUAGCUAGUCAACAAGUGCUCAGUUAAAGAAGGUGACUCACAAGCAGAUUGAUCUGGAGGUGGAUCCGCAGUCUAUUUGAACAGUGAUUGUAGAACAAAAGGCCUGAAUCUUACUGUUCCUGGACUGAUGGGCUAUAGCGUAAUGAAAAGCAAAUGUGUCUACUGAUGACCAAGUUGCUACUUUGAAAAUGUCCGGAAUAGGAACUUGUGCCAGAAAAGCUGCAGAUGCUACAUGUGCCCUAGUUGAAUAGGCAAGCAUUCCAACUGGUGGAGUGACAUUAGCCAACUGGUAACACAAAUGAAUACACAAAGAAAUCCAGGAGGAAGUCCUCUGAACAGAUACUUGUGGCAUUUCCUUCUGUCCACCACCACAAUGAACAAAGGUGAUGAUCUAAAUGAUUUAGUCUGGUCCAGAUAAAAGGCUAAAACUCUUCUGAUGUCUAAUGAGCGGAACUUUUCUUCAUUUCUAUGAGCAUGAGGCUUUCGGAAGAAAGUUGGCAAAUAGAUUGCCUGAUUAAUGUGAGAGUUGGAAACCACUUUUGUCAAGAACUUAGCGUGAAAGCAAAGGUAAACCCUGUCCUUAUAGAAGAUUGCAUACUCUGAAAUCAGAGCUCUCUUCUUGCCAAGGUAAUUGUGAUCAAAAUUGCCACCUUCACAGAGAGGGGGAGUAGAGAAUGAGUGAGAGUGGUUUAAAGGAUGGUCCCAUUAAGUUUGCUAACACCAGGUUCAGCUCCCAUGGGAGAAUAUGUUCUUGUACCUGUGGGAAUAUUCUGUCCAGACCUUUCAAAAACCUGAUAGUGAGGGGAUGGGGGGGAUUUGUUGUUCACCAACAGAUAGAAAGCUGAAAUAGUUGCCAGAUGAACCUUGAUAGAGCUAACUGCUAGACCAUGAUGUUUUAGGUUCAGAACUGCAGCCACUGGGAGCUGCAGGUGGCCGUACCUGUGGACGCUCAGAUAAACAAAGCGUCUUACGGCCCAACAGAGGCUUACCCCGAACAAGCAGCAAACCAAGUUUGGGAUCCCCUGUGUUAAUUGAAGGCUUUCUACUAUUUAUAAGUACUUUUUGCAAGCCUUUGCUAAUGGUGUUAACCCUGAA